CUGGAGCUCACUGUAGUAUUCUGUGCAAUUUUGUAUCAGGAGGCCAAAGAGACUGUGCUGGAAAGCUGAAGAGUCUGCACUGGAAGCCAGAAGACGACAUCUAAGAUGAAGGUGAAGACUGGAGCUCCUCAAAGAAACAGAAGUGAGCCUUCCUUCUUCGUUUCCCUUUUAUCUCAUCCAGGCGACAAAGCCUGCUGAUUGGUAUCACUCACUCACAGGUUGGGGCUCUGUCUUCAGUAAAUCCCUGUGAACACAUGUAGAACUAUGCUGAUCCAACUUAGUUGGACAUUUCUUACUCAGGUUGGCACAAUCACUAAACUAUCACACUGGGUGAGAGGCAGCCAAGGGAGACACCUACAGACAGAGAGCAGGGAAUUCUUGGCUUUAUCAGCAUCCAUGGUAUUCCGUGCCAGAUUAUAAUCAGACCCUUCAUCCACUGAACAAGACAAACCUACAACAUUUUUUCCUGUGCUAUUUGCCUUUAUACAAGCAACAUCACCAGAAAUACCAGAAGAUUUAGGUUAUUCAAUAAUGUGGUCAUCCUCAUGGGGUAAUUUUACUAUCUCCUUUGAUUUUUGUUCGUUUUUCCCUUUGCCCUCC
rnacentral:lncRNA from 1 species